UACGAAGGGGGCUAGCGUUGUUCGGAAUUACUGGGCGUAAAGGGCGCGCAGGCGGCUCUUCAAGUCAGAUGUGAAAGCCCCGGGCUCAACCUGGGAACUGCAUUCGAGACUGGAGAGCUCCAGUUCGGGAGAGGAGAGCGGAAUUCCCAGUGUAGAGGUGAAAUUCGUAGAUAUUGGGAAGAACUCCGGUGGCGAAGGCGGCUCUCUGGACCGAUACUGACGCUGAGGCGCGAAAGCGUGGGGAGCAAACAGG
rnacentral:rRNA from 1 species